rnacentral:rRNA from 1 species
GUAGGGAAUAUUGGGCAAUGGAGGCAACUCUGACCCAGCCAUGCCGCGUGCAGGAAGACGGUCCUCUGGAUUGUAAACUGCUUUUGAAUGGGAAGAACACUACCCUUGCGAGGGUAUUUGACGGUACUAUUAGAAUAAGCACCGGCUAACUCCGUGCCAGCAGCCGCGGUAAUACGGAGGGUGCAAGCGUUAUCCGGAUUUAUUGGGUUUAAAGGGUGCGUAGGCGGCUUUAUAAGUCGGUGGUUAAAGGUAGCAGCUUAACUGUUUUACAUGCCAUCGAUACGGUAGGGCUUGAGUGAUUUGGAGGUAGCUAGAAUUCCCUGUGUAGCGGUGAAAUGCAUAGAUACGGGGAGGAAUACCGAUUGCGAAGGCAUGUUACUACGAAUUAACUGACGCUGAGGCACGAAAGCGUGGGGAUCAAACAGGAUUAGAAACCCGGGUAGUCC